UGAAUUUGAGGUUAAAGAAUUGAAACAAGUUGUUUUCGCACACACCACUGAUAGAUAACAGGAAGCUUGUCUCCGGAGCCCUGGGGUCUCCCUUUGUUCUUCCUUGUGUACGUACCUAAGGGAUGUGAGCUUCACCUCCUCAUUUCUGUAGUAAUUACUACUUUGCUAUCUUCCUUUAGUAGUACAGCAAGGUAUCUUGAGCCCUUUGAGUCCAAAUGCUGUGUCAAAUGCUCGCUCUGCCUCAUACCGCUGGACCUGAUUCCCACGGGAUCAGCAUGCUGGUAUUGGAAGCUACCGAGAAACCUCCUGCAGCUUUGGUGGGUGAGCACUCUCACAGUUGCUUUUAUUGCUGGGCUACAAUACCCUGGCCAAAUAAGCUUAAUGGAGAAAGGGCUAAUUGUGGUUCCCAGUUCCAGAUUAUAAUAUGUCACGGCAAGGAAGUCACAAUCAAGAAGCUUGCAGGAGUUGAUCACGUCACACCCACCAACAAGAAGCAGAGAGCCACAAAUGGAGAGGAGAUCAGGUCCCCUCGAAGAAGGACUCAGCUACAAUACCAAGAGGAUCCAAGCUCGUAACUUCAGAUGAACCUGGGAUUGCCUGGAAGACACAGCUGCCUGGACCCCACAGCUGGCAUAUUUAUCCUCUCAUGUAGUCGACUGACAGCCAGGGGAGCCGCACCCUGCUCGCGGUGAGGAGUUGUCUGUGCUGACCUUCCGUCUGUGGACUGUGGGCGAAGAUCAAAGCCCUCUCCAGUAGUUACGUCAACUCAAGUUUCUCAAAAAA
rnacentral:lncRNA from 1 species